GUUAGUGCACUCCUUUGUGCUGGGAAGCUGGUUUGCCUACAGCUGCAUGUCUUUAAAUACCAUUAACUGAAAUUAAUUAGGUAGCUGCUCCUUAAUUCUUUUGACUGUAAUCCUGUAUCACGAGAGCACCAUAUUCAAUCUGGCAGAAGCUGCUCACAGGAGAGGCCCAGACCUAAAUUAGCAUCUAAUCUAAAUUAGCUUUAACCACUUGAAAGUCUGGCUCAUCUAGACUGGGUUAAAGUCAUUAGUGGUGAACUCUGAGAGGGCCGUGCUUCACCUCUGCUGCAAACAUCUCCAGAAAGGGCUUCCUGUUGCCUGGCAUUGUGCAGCCACAGACGGGUCUGAUCAUUGCCCUGAUGGUUCUGUUGGGUAGAUAGAUGAGAAAUACAAAGGCUUGAAAAAAGGGAAAGCAAUGAUUUUCAUCAUACAGAACCUGGAGCAAGAUAAACCUCUGCCAGGGCCUGAGCGGGGUACAGAAAUACAGCGUUGCUUAGGAACUGGAUUCCUCCUGGUUUCCCUUAUUUGUUUGUCCUUGAUAGCACAAAAACUGGAAAAUGUAGAGGUUAAUAUUACCAUGAUCACUGGACCUUGGAAGUUUUCCAUCUGUCUUCAUCACACCUGGCUCCUCACCUGUAACUGUGGCUCUGCUGUGGUUUUUAAUCCCUUGGGAAUAAAUAGCUGGCAGGUAAUGUCCUUUGCAGGUGUGUUCCCAACAGCGUGUUCCUCCUUUUCUUGUCCCCCCCGAUUUUGCCAGGAGCACUGCAUGGCUGAGAAUGGAAAGCAAUCUAAGAAGUCUGAAUUGUUGGAUAAAUUACAGUAGAAUUAGUUUGGCCAUUUCCUUUGAAGACACAAAAUGCUAUUAAAUAGAUAUUAAAUAAUUUCCUCGUACCUCAGCAUGCACCUGAGAACACAGAUGUUUGUAUCCUUUUGGUGGCAAGAGUUAGAUAAGCCCAGAACUGAUUUCCUGUCCAUUCUGCAUCUCAGCAUGUAGCUUUGACAGUGACCACCCAAUCCCCAGAUUUAGAAAUGUUUCUCAAGAUUACUUAUUUAAGGGUGAAAUUAUGUAGCAUUUAUUUGGACUAUCUAAUAAUAUGCAAAUUAUUUUUUAAGUCCAUAGAAUAUUUAGUAAUUUUAUUUAUGCAGAUUUUUCACAAUAAAAAAAAAGCAUUUCUGCUUUCA
rnacentral:lncRNA from 1 species